rnacentral:rRNA from 1 species
UACAGCGGUCCCAAGCGUUGUUCGGAUUCACUGGGCGUAAAGGGUGCGUAGGUGGCGAGGUAAGUCGGAUGUGAAAUCUCCGAGCUCAACUCGGAAAUGGCAUUGGAAACUACCUUGCUCGAGGGUUGGAGGGGGGACUGGAAUACUUGGUGUAGCAGUGAAAUGCGUAGAUAUCAAGUGGAACACCAGUGGCGAAGGCGAGUCCCUGGACAACUCCUGGCACUGAGGCACGAAAGCUAAGGGAGCAAACAGG